rnacentral:SRP_RNA from 1 species
AGGGGAUUACCCUGGACGUAGAGCAUUGAAUCUGGUCAGGAUCGAAAGAUAGCAGCCAACGGUGUGUAAGCGGGUCAAGGUAAUCUUCUUCU